GACGAACGCUGGCGGCGUGCUUAACACAUGCAAGUCGAACGGAAAGGCCCUGCUUUUGUGGGGUGCUCGAGUGGCGAACGGGUGAGUAACACGUGAGUAACCUGCCCUUGACUUUGGGAUAACUUCAGGAAACUGGGGCUAAUACCGGAUAGGAGCUCCUGCUGCAUGGUGGGGGUUGGAAAGUUUCGGCGGUUGGGGAUGGACUCGCGGCUUAUCAGCUUGUUGGUGGGGUAGUGGCUUACCAAGGCUUUGACGGGUAGCCGGCCUGAGAGGGUUACCGGCCACAUUGGGACUGAGAUACGGCCCAGACUACUACGGGAGGCAGUAGUGGGGAAUAUUGCACAAUGGGGGGAAGCCUGAUGCAGCAACGCCGCGUGCGGGAUGACGGCCUUCGGGUUGUAAACCGCUUUCGCCUGUGACGAAGCGUGAGUGACGGUAAUGGGUAAAGAAGCACCGGCUAACUACGUG
rnacentral:rRNA from 1 species